rnacentral:rRNA from 1 species
CAGCAGCCGCGGGAAUACGGAGGGGGCUAGCGUUGUUCGGAAUUACUGGGCGUAAAGCGCACGUAGGCGGCUUUGUAAGUUAGAGGUGAAAGCCCGGAGCUCAACUCCGGAAUUGCCUUUAAGACUGCAGAGCUAGCAGGUGAGAGAGGUGAGUGGAAUUCCGAGUGUAGAGGUGAAAUUCGUAGAUAUCCGGAAGAACACCAGUGGCGAAGGCGGCUCACUGGCUCAUACUGGACGCUGAGGUGCGAAAGCGUGGGGAGCAAACAGGAUUAGAUACCCCAGUAGUCCCUGUCUCUUAUAC